AUGGCUGUCCCAGGUUGCAACAAAGACAGUGUCAGAAAAGACUGUAAAAAAUGUGGCUACCCUUGUCACCUUACUUUUGAAUGCCGCAAUUUUCUCUGAGUAGACCCUAAAAGGGACAUAGUUUUGGAUGUCAGCAGUACAAGUAGUGAAGAUAGAGAUGAAGAGAAUGAAGAACUGAAUAAAUUGCAGGCAUUACAGGAAAAAAGAAUAAAUGAAGAAGAGGAAAAGAAAAAAGAAAAAAUCAAAUUGAAAAAAAAGAAAAAGGUCUUAUCCAGUUCCACUGAAGAGGACACUUCAAAACAAAAGAAACGAAGAUAUCAGAAGAAAGAAAAGAAAAAAAGAGUAAAUCAAUAAAGGGAAACAUCACAAAAAGGAAAGAACAAGGAGAGAAAAAAAAAAGCAUUCUUCUACCCCUAAAAGUUCUGAAUUCUCCAGAAAGUAA
rnacentral:lncRNA from 1 species